rnacentral:lncRNA from 1 species
UAUUCUUCCCCUACCAUCGUCCCCACGUCGGAUCAGGCAUCCCCACACUGGAUCAAGCUUCUCCUUACCAGAUCCGCUACCCCAAGACUCUCCCUUCUUCCCUUGCCGCGCCACCAAAAUGCCACCAUUGGAAACUAGCAUCCGCAGUCCCCCACCACCUCCUCUUCUUCCCUGCACAACUAGGUGACUUUUAGUUAUGGAGCCAUCACCACACAUCAUUCCCUCCUUUUAAUUGUUUUAAUAUUCAAAUUUAUAUUUAUUAGAUUUAUUUAAAUUUAUAAUAUUUGAUGUAAUUUGGGCAAGAAAAGCAUAUUUUUGAUCACCGG